rnacentral:rRNA from 1 species
GUGGGGAAUCUUCCACAAUGGACGAAAGUCUGAUGGAGCAACGCCGCGUGAGUGAAGAAGGGUUUCGGCUCGUAAAGCUCUGUUGUCGGGGACGAAUGUGCAGUAUUUGAAUAAAGUACUGUAAUGACGGUACCUGACGAGGAAGCCACGGCUAACUACGUGCCAGCAGCCGCGGUAAUACGUAGGUGGCAAGCGUUGUCCGGAAUUAUUGGGCGUAAAGGGAGCGCAGGCGGGAAGGUAAGUCGGUCUUAAAAGUGCGGGGCUCAACCCCGUGAUGGGAUCGAAACUAUCUUUCUUGAGUGCAGGAGAGGAAAGUGGAAUUCCUAGUGUAGCGGUGAAAUGCGUAGAUAUUAGGAAGAACACCAGUGGCGAAGGCGACUUUCUGGACGAAAACUGACGCUGAGGCGCGAAAGCCAGGGGAGCGAACGGGAUUAGAUACCCUAGUAGUCC